ACUGACUGUAAGAGAUACAGAGUGAGAGGAUGUUGGAUCCAGAAAUCUGAUAUGAGCAUCCUGCUAUGGAGCAUCUUCUGAUUGGGCAAUGAGGGAUUGCUAUGAAUACUAUGCAAACUUGUUAGUUGAUUUGAUACUAUGUGCUAAUAACUUGAUUAUUUAACACUUAAUGGUUUGGUCAUUCAAAGGCAUGGUCCCACACUUAAGACAAAAUUAAGAGCCUCAAAGUAAGAGUACCUAUCAAGGAUCAGGUCCCCACCUGUCUAUAGUCUUACUCAUUAUUAUCGAAAGGGUUUAAACUGAUCCUAGAUCAGCACUCCUACUCUGAGAGGCUUUGUGGAUACGGGACCUGACCUAAUACCAUUCAGACAGUAGUUCACAGUGGGCUCACCUCAGUGAGACUGUGUGUGGUCCUGUGCUGCUCAGCUGGUUCCUCUGUGGGUUCAGGAGGAGGUGUAGUCUGGUUGUCCUCCAUGACCAUGGUCUCCUCAGGGUUCCCCAGACCCUCCUCCUUCACCAGCAGCACCUCUGGACCCUCCUCCUCCUGGAAGAGAGAGGUGAUACACAUUACACAGACAUACACUCCCUCAGGUAUAUACACACAGAUAAUUAACACAUUUUCAAAAUGGAGUCUUUACCCAUCCCCACUAUGAGUCCUAUACUGUAGUUAGAGAAUGAAUUCAUUGUUGUUAAACCCAUCAUGGUGGACAUAAAUAUGUUGUGGGUAAAAACAAGUCACCUAUGAUCAGCUAAGUCAAAAGUCAUCAUACAUAUUUUGACAUGUACAGUAGGUGUUUGUUAGUGUGUGGGUAUAUUUAGUAAGUGUAUAAUGGUUAUAAAGCGCUGUCAGGUUUAUGCAGAAUAGGGUGAGAUCAGAGGUGAUGUAUACUAAGGAGAGUCUCAAUGAAAGUCGGAAUGAACAGUCCCAUUUUGUGUUUAUUAAACAGAAACAAGUUCUAAAUACACCAUAUGAAAACCACACACACGUUUCUCUGCGUGCCUGGCAGACAUCUUAUCUCGGAUGUCGGCCCACCCCCUCAAGUUCAACCUCGACAAGACGGAGCUGCUUAUACUCCAGGGGAAGGCCUGCCAGCUCCAAUACCUCUCCAUCAUGGUUGACAAAUCCACGGUGUCCCCCUCUCAGAGUGCAAAGAAUAUCAAAGCAAUGACUCGCUCCUGCAGGUUCAUGCUCUACAACAUCUGUAAAGUACGACCCUUCCUCACACAGGAAGCUGCGCAGGUCCUAAUCCAGGCUGUGGUCAUCUCCUGUUUACACGACUGCAAAUCUCUGUUGGAUGGGCCCCCCCUCCUGUGCCAUCAAACCCGUGCAACUUAUCUAGAACGCCGCAACUUCCCAAGUUCUCCCAUGUCACCCCGCUCCUCCGCACACUCCACUGGCUUUCAGUCGAAGCUCGCAUCCACUAAAAUACCAUGGUACUUGCCUACGGAGCAGCAAGGCAAAUUGCCCCUCCCUACCUUCAGGCUAUGCUCAAACCCUACACCCCGACCCGAGAACUCCACCACCUCUGAUGGGGGGGGGUCAGCUCCCGUUCAGCCCAGUCAAAACUCUUCUCUGUCCUGGCACCCUAUUGGUGGAAUAAGCUUCCCCCUGAACCUAGGACAGAAGAGGACAUGCUCCUCUUUCGAAACCAUCUAAAACCCUUCCUCUGGCCCCACCCCGAUGGGGGGGGUCAGCUCCCGUUCAGCCCAGUCAAAACUCUUCUCUGUCCUGGCACCCUAUUGGUGGAAUAAGCUUCCCCCUGAACCUAGGACAGAAGAGGACAUGCUCCUCUUUCGAAACCAUCUAAAACCCUUCCUCUUCAAAGAAUAUGUUAAAUGAAUCCCCUGGCACUGAUCCACAAUGUUUUAGCCCUCCACCGUUAAAAUAUAAAUAAGAAAUAAGUGAAAGAAAAAGGACAGAGCUCUCCACACGACCUCGCCAAUCAGUCUUGAGAGAGAGAGCGAGCGCUUGGUGACUUCUUGGUGAGUAAGUUCUGUCUCGUAUGACUGCUGGGUGUAUGUCAAACAGAUCAAGAGAUACAGUGCUUUCAGAAAGUAUUCAUACCUCUUGACUUAUUCCACAUUUUGUUGUGUUACAACGGAUUAAAUAGAUUGUCUCGCACAUCAUACCCCAUAAUGAGUGCGAAAGAGAAAAGUAAAAACAUGUUUUUAGACAUUUUUGCAAAUUUAUUGAAAAUGAAAUCUCAUUUACAUAGCUAUUCACACCCCCGAGUCAAUACAUGUUAGAAGCACCUUUGGCAGCGAUUACAGCUGAGUCUUUCUGGGUAAGUCUCUAAGAGCUUUCCACAUCUGGAUUUUGCAACAUUUGCCCAUUAUUCUUUUCAAACUUCUUUAAGCUCCGUCAAAUUGAUUGUUGAUCACCGCAAGACAACCAUUUUCAGGUCUUGCCCUAUUGUUAAGUCAAAACUACAGUAACUCAGCCACUGAGAAACAUUCACAGUCUUCUUGGUAAGCAACCCCAGUGUAGAUUUGGCCUUGUGUUUCAGGUUAUUGUCCUGCUGAAAUGUGAAUUCUUCUCCCAGGGGCUGGUGGAAAGCAGACUGAACCAGGUUUUACUCUAGGAUUGUGCCUGUGGUUAGCUCCAUUCCGUUUAUUUUUAUUCCGAAACUCCCCAGUCCUUCACGAUUACAAGCAUACCCAUAACAGUGAUACUCAGUAAUGUGUUGAUUUUCCUCAAACACAACACUUUGUAUUCAGGACAAAAAGUUAAUUGCUUUAGCACAUUUGUUGCAGGGUUACUUUAGUGCCUUGUUGCAAACAAGAUGCAUGAUUUGGAAUAUUUUUAUUCUGUACAGGCUUCCUUCUUUUCACUCUGUCAAUUAGGUUAGUAUUGUGGAGUAACUACAAUGGUGUUGAUCCAUCCCGAGUUUUCCAUCGAUCACAGCCAUUAAACUCUGUAUUGCGAGGUAUUGGUAAACAUCCCUGGUCUUUGUGGUUGAGUCGGUGUUCGAAAUUCACUGCUCAACUGAGGGACCUUGAUGAUAAUUCUAUCUGUGGGGUACAGCGAUAAGGUAGUCAUGUUAAACACUAUCAUUGUACACAGAGUGAGUCCAUGCAAUUUAUUAUGUGACUUUAUUAUGUACUCAUGAACUUAUUUAGGCUUGCCAUAACAAAGGAGUUAAAUACUUUUUUUGUUGUUGUCCAUUUGGACAUCUUAAAUCUAUAUUCUACUUGUCCCAGUAUUUUUGACGGUUUCUUUUACUUUUCCCAGAUGAGAACAAGCGUUAAAGAGCAACUGCCCCUAAAAAGCAACUAAUCCCUUUGAAAACAGCCUAUGUGGUAUUGAUAUGAGUCAGAAACAUUUAUUAUUGUGUCAAAAUUGACUAGUGUAAGUAGGAUCAUUUUGUUCAUAAAGUCAGUCUUGUCUAAAACGGAGUUUGGAACCCCAUCUUAAAAAUUAAUUUAAAAUGUUAAAUCUUUUCAUGGUUUGUUCUUAAUUUAAGAUUAUGGUUAGGCAAAAGUUUAGCCUUGUGGUAAAGGUUAGGUUUAAAAUUAAAUUCUAAUAAGAUAAAUUGUAGAAAUAGGCUGGGUUUCUGACUGUGGCAACGACCUAGAAUUAGCUUGACCCAAGUUAACUACCCUUGUGACACAGACGGCUUCAUCAACAAAUGGUAAUGUGUGUUAUAUAUAAAAAAGUUGUAAACCAAAAAUACCCGGUUUGAUAAACUAGUAAUUACCCAGCCAAGCAGAUACAAGUAGUAGAUCAUUUUGGUUGUGAAGUGAAUUAUCAAAAGCGUUCUCAUUUCUUUAUAACAAAAUGCAAUUAACCCCUUGGCUGUCUAUCGUAUCACCCUGUCACAGGCCCUCCCGGUCAACACCACCUCAUAACAUGAGGAAGUCAACUGUUUAUAAGGAUCGCCUGCUGCAGUUGUUUGAGAAAUGUCCAGUUUGCAGCCGAACAUCCAACACAGAGAAGACCAGCAAGGGGACCCUCAGCAUCACGCAGACAUUCCCUCGCUGUGAGCAUUCCUAUAAAACGGAACAGGGAGGACACUUGAAUCAGGUGCCACCAAACUCCUGUGGUUUGCAUGUAACCGACCAGUAUUUUGAUGAGGGUCCAGGAGCUGAUCUACGCUGGCAAAGACCACACCUCCAGCCUCACCUCGUCUGCUCAACAACGAUUGUUGACGGGUAGACAAGAAUUAGAUGCAUCUAUGGAGCCAGCACUUGGAGACUUGCAAGAUGAUGUGCUGGAGUCCUGACCUACAGACAGGCUUGAUACUGGCAUCUCUGAAUGGAGAGAAACAUGGCACUCGGCAUAAAAAUGUUACUAGACAACUUUUACUUGUAUCGUCUUUUUUUUAUUAUUGAAUUAAAUGGUAUGAGUCAAUAUGGGGAGGGAGAGAGCCUCUGUAUUCUGCACAAGGAUCAGGGAACUCCUGUUGUAUACGGGACACCACACAGAAAGGUAUGACCACUGAUAUGUUUGCCAAGGCAGCCCCAUUACCACCAGACAAAAUGCAGAUA